GACGAACGCUGGCGGCGUGCUUAACACAUGCAAGUCGAACGGAAAGGCCCUGCUUUUGUGGGGUGCUCGAGUGGCGAACGGGUGAGUAACACGUGAGUAACCUGCCCUUGACUUUGGGAUAACUUCAGGAAACUGGGGCUAAUACCGGAUAGGAGCUCCUGCUGCAUGGUGGGGGUUGGAAAGUUUCGGCGGUUGGGGAUGGACUCGCGGCUUAUCAGCUUGUUGGUGGGGUAGUGGCUUACCAAGGCUUUGACGGGUAGCCGGCCUGAGAGGGUGACCGGCCACAUUGGGACUGAGAUACGGCCCAGACUCCUACGGGAGGCAGCAGUGGGGAAUAUUGCACAAUGGGCGGAAGCCUGAUGCAGCAACGCCGCGUGCGGGAUGACGGCCUUCGGGUUGUAAACCGCUUUCGCCUGUGACGAAGCGUGAGUGACGGUAAUGGGUAAAGAAGCACCGGCUAACUACGUGCCAGCAGCCGCGGUGAUACGUAGGGUGCGAGCGUUGUCCGGAUUUAUUGGGCGUAAAGGGCUCGUAGGUGGUUGAUCGCGUCGGAAGUGUAAUCUUGGGGCUUAACCCUGAGCGUGCUUUCGAUACGGGUUGACUUGAGGAAGGUAGGGGAGAAUGGAAUUCCUGGUGGAGCGGUGGAAUGCGCAGAUAUCAGGAGGAACACCAGUGGCGAAGGCGGUUCUCUGGGCCUUUCCUGACGCUGAGGAGCGAAAGCGUGGGGAGCGAACGGGCUUAGAUACCCUGGUAGUCCACGCUGUAAACGGUGGGUACUAGGUGUGGGGUCCAUUCCACGGGUUCCGUGCCGUAGCUAACGCUUUAAGUACCCCGCCUGGGGAGUACGGCCGCAAGGCUAAAACUCAAAGGAAUUGACGGGGCCCCGCACAAGCGGCGGAGCAUGCGGAUUAAUUCGAUGCAACGCGUAGAACCUUACCUGGGUUUGACAUGGAUCGGGAGUGCUCAGAGAUGGGUGUGCCUCUUUUGGGGUCGGUUCACAGGUGGUGCAUGGCUGUCGUCAGCUCGUGUCGUGAGAUGUUGGGUUAAGUCCCGCAACGAGCGCAACCCUUGUUCACUGUUGCCAGCACGUUAUGGUGGGGACUCAGUGGAGACCGCCGGGGUCAACUCGGAGGAAGGUGGGGAUGACGUCAAGUCAUCAUGCUCCUUAUGUCCAGGGCUUCACGCAUGCUACAAUGGCUGGUACAGAGAGUGGCGAGCCUGUGAGGGUGAGCGAAUCUCGGAAAGCCGGUCUCAGUUCGGAUUGGGGUCUGCAACUCGACCUCAUGAAGUCGGAGUCGCUAGUAAUCGCAGAUCAGCAACGCUGCGGUGAAUACGUUCCCGGGGCU
rnacentral:rRNA from 1 species